GGUGAACGCUGGCGGCGCGCCUAACACAUGCAAGUCGAACGAAGAAAGGGUAGCUUGCUACCCGAGUAAGAGUGGCGAACGGGUGAGUAAAGCGUAGGAAUCUGCCCAAAGGACCGGGAUAACUGCUGGAAACGGUAGAUAAGACCGGAUAAGCCCGAGAGGGGAAAGUAUCGAGAGAUAGCCGAAGGAGGGGCCUACGUCCCAUCAGGUAGUUGGAAGUGUAAGAGACUCCCAAGCCGACGACGGGUAGCCGAUGUGAGAGCAUGAUCGGCCACAAGGGCACUGAGACACGGGUCCUACUCCUACGGGAGGCAGCAGUGGGGAAUUUUGGACAAUGGACGGAAGUCUGAUCCAGCGACGCCGCGUGAAGGAAGAAGUCCUUCGG
rnacentral:rRNA from 1 species